CUCCCUUGCACUCAAAUCAACCUAGGUGCAAAACUGAGCCAAAGCACUGAGAGAUUGCUGAACUCUACUGGGAAGCAGAAAGAAGUUCUUUGUAAUGAUAUGGAUGGAGUCUGUUGCUAUCUAUGGAAAUGUGCUGUGUGGGCAUUAGGAGACAGGCAAGAGAAAGGAUGGGCUGCAAAAUCCAGAUCCAGAAUUCAAACCAAUACCCGGGAUGUCCUAUUGCAGAGAUAGGAGUCAGCAAACAAUUUUGAUACAGUUUCAGGCUUGGAUCCGAUCUUCUCCCGCGCUUCACAAUAAUUCAUUGGGUUGAAAUCUGGGUUUGAAUCCACCACCCACCUUGCACAAGAGUUCAGGGAGGUUCCAUUAGGGAAUGGGGAAGUAUUGCUUCACAUCCAAAUCCAAAGAACAUGCAGCAGUUGUGACACUGGCAGGCUAGGUGCCAGCUCUUGCCAAGGCUGCUGGCAUUAGCUAAGAACCGACAAACUCAUAGCUGGAGACCAGACAAGUUCACUUAUGUGUUAGUGCUGCUCAAAUAGUCUUAUAAGAAUGUAUUUAGUGUUUAGACUCUACAGAAUGUUUGUAAACUGCUGCAUUCAUUAAUCUUAUUUGUAAUGUCUGUAUUCCAUGCCAUAAGGAAAAAAAGUAAGUUUUGCUUUAUAUCUUUGAGAAUGUUCCUUUAUCCAACCACGGAGGGACAGUGGAAGGACUCACUGCCUAAUGGAGACUGAAGCUUGAGUGAGGGCUAGUUGGCUGAGACUCAACCCUGACACAGCUCAAAUUAUGACUACAGAAUGGGGAAACUAAUUGGAACA